rnacentral:rRNA from 1 species
GAUGAACGCUGGCGGCGUGCCUAAUACAUGCAAGUCGAACGAGCGGGCCAGGUGCUUGCUCCGCUCACGUUAGUGGCGGACGGGUGAGUAACACGUGGAUAACCUGCCCAUCAGAGGGGGAUAACAUCGGGAAACGGAUGCUAAUACCGCAUAAUAUUUCGAGCCGCAUGGCUCAAUGGUGAAAGACGGUGUAGGCUUCUGUUGUUGAUUGAACCCGCGCUGCAUUAGCUAGUUGGUGAGGUAACGGCUCACCAAGGCAGUGAUGCGUAGCCGACCUGAGAGGGUGAUCGGCCACACUGGAACUGAGACACGGUCCAGACUCCUACGGGAGGCAGCAGUAGGGAAUCUUCCGCAAUGGGCGAAAGCCUGACGGAGCAACGCCGCGUGAGUGAAGAAGGUCUUCGGAUCGUAAAACUCUGUUGUUAGGGAAGAACAAAUGUGUAAGUAACUAUGAACGUCUUGACGGUACCUAACCAGAAAGCCACGGCUAACUACGUG